GCCGCCUUAGCUCAGUUGGUUAGAGCGCUAGAUUGUGGAUCUAGAGGUCGCCCGUUCGAUCCGGGCAGGCGGUA
rnacentral:tRNA from 1 species